rnacentral:lncRNA from 1 species
UAAAGAGCAUAUUUAUUGACCAAAAUGGCAUAUCUUUCUUAGUCUUCCUUCCCCCAAUGGAAUGAGCACAACAUGGUAGUAAUACCACCAUUAAAAGGAAAAAAAACUAAAAGAAGACAUGCCGAUGUACAAGUUACAUCAUAAAUUAUGUAUUUUUCUAACAAAUCUCAUAAAACCUUCAAGGUUUGGAUGUGGUUGUAUUGGCGGUGGUGGAAAUGAAGCUUGUUCAUCACCACUUCUGGGCUAAGCAAGUUCUGCUAGCAUUUCUUCAUAGCACUCUUCUAUUUCUGGUUGUGAUUCAGCUAGCCCAAAGUUCC